CCUACGGGAGGCAGCAGUGAGGAAUAUUGGUCAAUGGGCGGAAGGCUGAACCAGCCAAGCCGCGUGAAGGACGAAGGCGCUAAGGAUUGUAAACUUCUUUUGUCAAGGGGCAAAAGCAGGCCCGAGAGGCUGACCGAGGGUACUUGAAGAAAAAGCAUCGGCUAACUCCGUGCCAGCAGCCGCGGUAAUACGGGGGAUCCGAGCGUUAUCCGGAUUUAUUGGGUUUAAAGGGUGCGUAGGCGGGUUGUUAAGUCAGCGGUAAAAGCCCGGGGCUCAACCCCGGCGAGCCGUUGAAACUGGGUAUCUAGAGAUGUCGAGAGGUAUGCGGAAUGCGCGGUGUAGCGGUGAAAUGCUUAGAUAUUGCGCAGAACUCCGAUUGCGAAGGCAGCAUACCGGCGGCGAUCUGACGCUGAGGCACGAAAGCGUGGGUAUCGAACAGGAUUAGAUACCCUUGUAGUC
rnacentral:rRNA from 1 species